CCUACGGGUGGCUGCAGUGGGGAAUAUUGGACAAUGGGCGAAAGCCUGAUCCAGCCAUGCCGCGUGUGUGAAGAAGGCCUUCGGGUUGUAAAGCACUUUCAGUGGGGAAGAAAGCCUUGGGGCUAAUACCCUCGAGGAAGGACAUCACCCACAGAAGAAGCACCGGCUAACUCCGUGCCAGCAGCCGCGGUAAUACGGAGGGUGCGAGCGUUAAUCGGAAUUACUGGGCGUAAAGCGCGCGUAGGCGGUCUGAUAAGCCGGUUGUGAAAGCCCCGGGCUCAACCUGGGAACGGCAUCCGGAACUGUCAGGCUAGAGUGCAGGAGAGGAAGGUAGAAUUCCCGGUGUAGCGGUGAAAUGCGUAGAGAUCGGGAGGAAUACCAGUGGCGAAGGCGGCCUUCUGGACUGAAACUGACGCUGAGGUGCGAAAGCGUGGGUAGCAAACAGGAUUAGAUACCCGGUAGUC
rnacentral:rRNA from 1 species